GUGGCUAACAGCAAGCGUUACAAAGCAAUCACUAGCCUGCUAUUCAGUGGAAAGGGUGUGUGGUCUAAGUCUGGGAUUAAGAGUCUCUUUUCCAAUCUUAAAAGGAUAAACAUUCACGUGCAACACCCAUGGGCCAGAAAAGGUUGACUACAUUGACCACGCUGUCAAUCCAGUUUGACUUCUGCCGCAUUCAAAACAACUGGAAACUCGGAACUGGGAAAUCUCAGACUUUAGUGAGUUCAAGACAACUGGGAACUCUGAAAAAAACGAGCUCCCACUGUGAAAAUACGAUUUGGACGGUCAUUCAAAUCGGAAGUCCAAGUCGAGAACUCAAGCCUCCUUCUAGAACUCCGACCUGAAGAUCACUGACGUCAUAAUAGAGUUCCCAGUUGUCUUGAAAGAACUAUACAUCCAGAGAAUGCCAGACUUUGAUGACAAGGUCCGAUGGCAAAAAGAAGGGCCGCCGCGACCACCUUCCUGUAAAAGUGAACACAGCACAACAAUUGGAGGAUUGGAGGAAUGAGGGAGAGAGUGAAGAGAAGAGAGGAGAGGAGGAGCGAGGGAGAGUGUGAAGAGAGGAGAAGAGGAACGAGAGAUGAGAGGAGAAGAGGAAUGAGGGAGAGAGUGAAGAGAAGAGAGGAGAGGAGGAGCGAGGGAGAGUGUGAAGAGAGGAGAAGAGGAACGAGAGAUGAGAGGAGAAGAGGAAUGAGGGAGAGUGUGAAGAGAGGAGAUGAGGAACAAGAGAUGAGAGGAGAGGAGGAACGAGGGGUGAGAGUGAAGAGAGGAGAGGAGAAGAAAUGAAACACAUCACAUGACUAGACUAGGGACCUGCAUGCUCCAAGAAUGGGGUAGAGCUCUAGGGCUGUUUUGGGAGGAAGUGGUGGUCGAGAUCCUGCCCAAAUAGAUGUGCAGGCAUUGCAUUGCAUCAACCAAUGGUUGCGUGCCACCUCAUUGACUGUGCAGUUGGGCAUCAGUUUACCAUAUUACAGUAUAUGAUCUGGUCACUGGUCAGCUGAUCUGUAACAUACCUAUCUAGGAGCUGUAAGAUCUGAUCACUGGUCAGCUG
ensembl:lncRNA